GUGCUCACUUCUGUAGCACAUAUACUAAAGUUGGAAUGAUACAGAGAUUAGUAUGGCUCUUGUACAAGAAUGACAUGAAAUUUUGUGAAAUAUAUAUAUAAAUA
rnacentral:snRNA from 1 species